AUUGAACGCUGGCGGCAUGCUUUACACAUGCAAGUCGAACGGCAGCGCGGGCUUCGCCCUUGCGGCCAGUGGCGAACGGGUGAGUAAUGCAUCGGAACCUGCCUAGUAGUGGGGGAUAGCGUGGCGAAACCGGGGUUAAUACCGCAUACGACCUGAGGGUGAAAGUGGGGGAUCUUAAGACCUCGCGCUAUUGGAUGAGCCGAGGUCGGAUUAGCUAGUUGGUGGGGUAAAGGCUUACCAAGGCGACGAUCCGUAGCUGGUCUGAGAGGACGACCAGCCACACUGGGACUGAGACACGGCCCAGACUCCUACGGGAGGCAGCAGUGGGGAAUUUUGGACAAUGGGGGAAACCCUGAUCCAGCCAUGCCGCGUGCGGGAAGAAGGCCUUCGGGUUGUAAACCGCUUUUGUUCGGGAAGAAAUCCUCUGGGCUAAUACCCCGGGGGGAUGACGGUACCGGAAGAAUAAGCACCGGCUAACUACGUG
rnacentral:rRNA from 1 species